UGGGGAAUAUUGGACAAUGGGCGCAAGCCUGAUCCAGCCAUGCCGCGUGAGUGAAGAAGGCCUUAGGGUUGUAAAACUCUUUCGCCGGGGAAGAUAAUGACGGUACCCGGAGAAGAAGCUCCGGCUAACUUCGUGCCAGCAGCCGCGGUAAUACGAAGGGAGCUAGCGUUGUUCGGAAUUACUGGGCGUAAAGCGCACGUAGGCGGACUUGUCAGUCAGGGGUGAAAUCCCAAGGCUCAACCUUGGAACUGCCUCCGAUACAGCAAGCCUAGAGAUCGGGAGAGGUGAGUGGAAUUCCUGGUGUAGAGGUGAAAUUCGUAGAUAUUAGGAAGAACACCAGUGGCGAAGGCGGCUCACUGGCCCGAUACUGACGCUGAGGUGCGAAAGCGUGGGGAGCAAACAGGAUUAGAUACCCCCGUAGUCCCUGAGCGGGCUGGCAAGGCGCAU
rnacentral:rRNA from 1 species